rnacentral:rRNA from 1 species
UACGUAGGGUGCGAGCGUUAAUCGGAAUUACUGGGCGUAAAGCGUGCGCAGGCGGUUCGCCAAGUCAGGUGUGAAAUCCCCGGGCUUAACCUGGGAAUUGCGCUUGAAACUAGCGGGCUUGAGUGUGGCAGAGGGGGGUGGAAUUCCACGUGUAGCAGUGAAGUGCGUAGAUAUCUGGAGGAACACCGAUGGCGAAGGCAGCCCCCUGGGCUAACACUGACGCUCAUGCACGAAAGCGUGGGGAGCAAACAGG